GAGAUAAAACUUGGGUUUGUCCCAUAUGCAUUUUAUUGCAGCAAAUUAUUGGCUACUGAGAGCAGGAAACCAUGGAAAAGACUUGUAGAAAACAAUUAUAUUAAACUAUUAUUAUUAUUAUUAUUAUUAUUAUUAUUAUUAUUAUUAUUAUUAUUAUUAUUUUCAACAAGGAUUGAUUGAAUUGAUCAAAAGUGAGAGUAAAGAUAUAAAUAGAGUAAAAAAAGAUUUCUAAUUCAAAUAAAUGCUCUUCUUUUAAAUUUCUUUAAAGUAGUUUAUUUAUGUUGCUCAGAAUUUGGACAUAUUUCAGUUAUUUUGCUUUCUAGAAAUGACAGGUGGCAGGUACCUGUACUAAUCAGAAUUUUUAAUCAAAUAAACCCUUUAUUCAGAAUACCCACCAUAACUUCCAUUAUGUCGUUGCAUGAAUACAAACAUACAGUAUGAGUACGUAAACAUUGUCACUGUUGUUUUUUUGUUUUUUUUUUAUGGAUAUUUCUAGAUCUGAUGAAAUGUCUGAAAUUAUUUUUGAGGACUGAAGUUUGAGAGCUCAGUUUAUUUCUGCCUAGAAUAGUCAUAAAUUGAUGUUGUUAUGACACUUGGUGGUUGAAAUGACCUUUAGGUUUAUCCCAAGCAACCUCUCAAAUGUCCUCUCUCAUCGUUCCACUCUCCCUCCCUCCACUGCUUUACCCUUUCCUUCUUUGAAUGCUAAUAAGUAAACAGCAUGCUUUCUUCGCAUAAGGGGGAAAAUACUCCACUUUCCUCUUUACCCAUGCCUUCUCUCUUUCAGACGCACAUCCCUAUUGUAGAGAUCCAUGACCAUCAUGAAGCUAUAGCCUCUGAAGUCCUCCCCGCUGCUGAGGAACAUCUGGAGCAGGACGUCCUCCAAACUCAGUAUGUGAACACUCCAGUUGGUUCCACUAAAGAUGACGACACAGAAGACAAGAUGUCCUGCAGUCAUUACUUGAAGGACAAUGGUGAUGUUGACGAGGAAAUUCCACCUAAUUUGUAAGGUGCAUUCAUCCCAUUCACUGCUCUGUUUCAUGCUCUCGCAGGCCAAAGUUGCAGCGCUGCUGUUGUGCUGAGAUCCACUACAGAAGAGCUCAGGCAACAUAAUGCAGUUAUCACAGACACUCUGGAAGCCCAGGAAAAACAAAUCAGUCUCCAGGAACGAAUCUGUCUUUCUCACUGUCAUUGCAUAUCUGUUUUCAUGAUUUUUUUGUGAUGUCUCUGAAGUACUUGUAAAGCAUCAACAAAUGCAUUUGUUGUUUCUUUAUUUAUUUUACAGGAUUAGGUUGUAAUCUUCAUAAAUCCUUAAUCUGUAUGGCAACUGUUGUGUGUAUGUGAGGCAAAUGUCAGGCAUUUAAAAUAUACUGAAUGAAUUUAGAGAAUGUUUCAUACAAAUUAAGAGACUUCUUUGAAUAGCACAAUUUGCAGUAAAUGUGCUUAUAAAGUAGUCAAACGUCAUUGGAAUAUAUAUAUAUUUUUUUUCACAAAUUCAGAGUAUGGGUCACCAUACUUGGCUGCACUUUCACUUUUUUUCAUAACUGAAUCAGGUAAGCAUAAAAGGUUCAUGGGUGUAGGCUACAUGAAUCUACAAACAUUUUACAUAUUAAAUAAAUAUCAUUUAGUGUAUAUUUCA
ensembl:lncRNA